rnacentral:rRNA from 1 species
UACGGAGGGUGCAAGCGUUAUCCGGAUUCACUGGGUUUAAAGGGUGCGUAGGCGGGUUUUUAAGUCAGCGGUGAAAGCUCCGAGCUCAACUCGGAAAUUGCCGUUGAUACUAUUAAUCUUGAAUUUAGUUGAGGUGGGCGGAAUGUGUAGUGUAGCGGUGAAAUGCUUAGAUAUUACACAGAACACCUAUUGCGAAGGCAGCUCGCUAAACUAAUAUUGACGCUGAGGCACGAAAGCGUGGGGAUCAAACAGG